rnacentral:rRNA from 1 species
GUAGGGAAUAUUGGUCAAUGGGCGCAAGCCUGAACCAGCCAUGCCGCGUGCAGGAAGACGGUCCUAUGGAUUGUAAACUGCUUUUAUUUGGGAAUAAACUCCGGUACGUGUACCGGCCUGAAGGUACCAAAUGAAUAAGCACAGGCUAACUCCGUGCCAGCAGCCGCGGUAAUACGGAGGGUGCAAGCGUUAUCCGGAAUCAUUGGGUUUAAAGGGUCCGCAGGCGGUCUUAUAAGUCAGUGGUGAAAGCCUACAGCUCAACUGUAGAACUGCCAUUGAUACUGUAGGACUUGAAUUCGAUCGAAGUGGGCGGAAUGUGACAUGUAGCGGUGAAAUGCUUAGAUAUGUCACAGAACACCGAUAGCGAAGGCAGCUCACUAGGUCUGGAUUGACGCUCAGGGACGAAAGCGUGGGGAGCAAACAGGAUUAGAAACCCGGGUAGUCC